rnacentral:rRNA from 1 species
GACAUUACGGGAGGCAGCAGUGGGGAAUAUUGCACAAUGGGCGAAAGCCUGAUGCAGCGACGCCGCGUGAGGGAUGACGGCCUUCGGGUUGUAAACCUCUUUCAGCAGGGACGAAGCGCAAGUGACGGUACCUGCAGAAGAAGCACCGGCUAACUACGUGCCAGCAGCCGCGGUAAUACGUAGGGUGCGAGCGUUGUCCGGAAUUAUUGGGCGUAAAGAGCUCGUAGGCGGUUUGUCGCGUCGGCCGUGAAAACUUGGGGCUUAACCCCAAGCUUGCGGUCGAUACGGGCAGACUUGAGUUCGGCAGGGGAGACUGGAAUUCCUGGUGUAGCGGUGAAAUGCGCAGAUAUCAGGAGGAACACCGGUGGCGAAGGCGGGUCUCUGGGCCGAUACUGACGCUGAGGAGCGAAAGCGUGGGGAGCGAACAGGAUUAGAUACCCUGGUAGUCCACGCCGUAAACGGUGGGUGCUAGGUGUGGGGGGCUUCCACGCCCUCUGUGCCGCAGCUAACGCAUUAAGCACCCCGCCUGGGGAGUACGGCCGCAAGGCUAAAACUCAAAGGAAUUG